rnacentral:rRNA from 1 species
GAUGAACGCUGGCGGCGUGCCUAAUACAUGCAAGUCGAGCGAACGGACGAGAAGCUUGCUUCUCUGAUGUUAGCGGCGGACGGGUGAGUAACACGUGGAUAACCUACCUAUAAGACUGGGAUAACUUCGGGAAACCGUAGCUAAUACCGGAUAAUAUUUUGAACCGCAUGGUUCAAAAGUGAAAGACGGUCUUGCUGUCACUUAUAGAUGGAUCCGCGCUGCAUUAGCUAGUUGGUAAGGUAACGGCUUACCAAGGCAACGAUGCAUAGCCGACCUGAGAGGAUGAUCAGCCACACUGGAACUGAGACACGGUCCAGACUCCUACGGGAGGCAGCAGUGGGGAAUCUUCCGCAAUGGGCGAAAGCCUGACGGAGCAACGCCGCGUGAGUGAUGAAGGUCUUCGGAUCGUAAAACUCUUUUAUUAGGGAAGAACAUAUGUGUAAGUAACUGUGCACAUCUUGACGGUACCUAAUCAGAAAGCCACGGCUAACUACGUG